GAUACUAGACAUAUAUCCUCUUCACCAUACCCCAUAGACCGGGCAAUCUUUUUAAAUGAGUGGAACUUCUUCUCAGGAACAUAAACGUUUUCUUGAUAAACCUCAUCAGCCAAAAGAACAAGGCCUUCUUGCUUGCAGAACUCUACAAUUGCUCGCUGGUUGUCCUCAGCAAGAACCUGCCCUGUUGGGUUGCCUGGAUUUAUUACAACUAAGGCUCUGACUGUGAUACCUUUAGACUUUGCAUCCUCUAACUGCUUCUUAAGCUCAGAAAUUUCCAAUCCCCACCCAGUUGCUUCAUCAAGAUAAUAUGGAACCAGACUACCUCCAUGGAGAGCAAUCGAAGCAGAGUACAAGGGGUACUGAGGAAU
rnacentral:misc_RNA from 1 species